rnacentral:rRNA from 1 species
GAUGAACGCUGGCGGCGUGCCUAAUACAUGCAAGUCGAGCGAACGGACGAGAAGCUUGCUUCUCUGAUGUUAGCGGCGGACGGGUGAGUAACACGUGGAUAACCUACCUAUCAGACUGGGAUAACUUCGGGAAACCGGAGCUAAUACCGGAUGAUAUUUUGAACCGCAGGGUUCAAAAGUGAAAGACGGUCUUGCUGUCACUUAUAGAUGGAUCCGCGCUGCAUUAGCUAGUUGGUAAGUUAACGGCCUACCAAGGCAACGAGGCAUAGCCGACCUGAGAGGGUGAUCGCCCACACUGGAACUGAGCCACGGUCCAGACUCCUACGGGAGGCAGCAGUAGGGAAUCUUCCGCAAUGGGCGGAAGCCUUACGGAGCAGCGCCGCGUGAGUGAUGAAGGUCUUCGGAUCGUAAAACUCUGUUAUUAGGGAAGAACAUAUGUGUAAGUAACUGUGCACAUCUUGACGGUACCUAAUCAGAAAGCCACGGCUAACUACGUG